rnacentral:rRNA from 1 species
CACGGAUCCAGACUUUGAUUAUGGCUCAGGACGAACGCUGGCGGCGUGCCUAAUACAUGCAAGUCGAGCGGACAGAAGGGAGCUUGCUCCCGGAUGUUAGCGGCGGACGGGUGAGUAACACGUGGGUAACCUGCCUGUAAGACUGGGAUAACUCCGGGAAACCGGAGCUAAUACCGGAUAGUUCCUUGAACCGCAUGGUUCAAGGAUGAAAGACGGUUUCGGCUGUCACUUACAGAUGGACCCGCGGCGCAUUAGCUAGUUGGUGAGGUAACGGCUCACCAAGGCGACGAUGCGUAGCCGACCUGAGAGGGUGAUCGGCCACACUGGGACUGAGACACGGCCCAGACUCCUACGGGAGGCAGCAGUAGGGAAUCUUCCGCAAUGGACGAAAGUCUGACGGAGCAACGCCGCGUGAGUGAUGAAGGUUUUCGGAUCGUAAAGCUCUGUUGUUAGGGAAGAACAAGUGCAAGAGUAACUUGCUUGCACCUUGGCGGUACCUAACCAGAAAGCCACGGCUUAACUACGUGCCAGCAGCCGCGGUAAUACGUAGGUGGCAAGCGUUGUCCCGAAUUAUUGGGCGUAAAGGGCUCGCAGGCGGUUUCUUAAGUGUGAUGUGAAAGCCCCCGGCUCAACCGGGGAGGGUCAUUGGAAACUGGGAAACUUGAGUGCAGAAGAGGAGAGUGGAAUUCCACGUGUAGCGGUGAAAUGCGUAGAGAUGUGGAGGAACACCAGUGGCGAAGGCGACUCUCUGGUCUGUAACUGACGCUGAGGAGCGAAAGCGUGGGGAGCGAACAGGAUUAGAUACCCUGGUAGUCCACGCCGUAAACGAUGAGUGCUAAGUGUUAGGGGGUUUCCGCCCCUUAGUGCUGCAGCUAACGCAUUAAGCACUCCGCCUGAAGAGUACGGUCGCAAGAUUCAAACUAAAAGUAAUUGGUGGUCGCCUGCAACCCCGGUGGAGCAAGCGGCGGAAUUCGAAGCAACGCGAAGAACCUUACCAGGUCUUGACAUCCUCUGACAACCCUAGAGAUAGGGCUUUCCCUUCGGGGACAGAGUGACAGGUGGUGCAUGGUUGUCGUCAGCUCGUGUCGUGAGAUGUUGGGUUAAGUCCCGCAACGAGCGCAACCCUUGAUCUUAGUUGCCAGCAUUCAGUUGGGCACUCUAAGGUGACUGCCGGUGACAAACUCGGAGGAAGGUGGGGAUGACUUCUAAUCAUCAUUGCUCCCUUUAUGACCUGGGUUACACACGUGCUACAAUGGACAGAACAAAGGGCUGCGAGACCGCAAGGUUUAGCCAAUCCCACAAAUCUGUUCUCAGUUCGGAUCGCAGUCUGCAACUCGACUGCGUGAAGCUGGAAUCGCUAGUAAUCGCGGAUCAGCAUGCCGCGGUGAAUACGUUCCCGGGCCUUGUACACACCGCCCGUCACACCACGAGAGUUUGCAACACCCGAAGUCGGUGAGGUAACCUUUAUGGAGCCAGCCGCCGAAGGUGGGGCAGAUGAUUGGGGUGAAGUCGUAACAAGCUAGCCGUAAGCUUCAC